rnacentral:rRNA from 1 species
AAGACCUUUGCGUUUUUGGAGCGGCCGAUGUCUGAUUAGCUAGUUGGUGGGGUAAUGGCCUACCAAGGCUUCGAUCAGUAGCUGGUCUGAGAGGACGGCCAGCCACACUGGGACUGAGACACGGCCCAGACUCCUACGGGAGGCAGCAGUGGGGAAUUUUGGACAAUGGGCGCAAGCCUGAUCCAGCCAUGCCGCGUGAGUGAAGAAGGCCUUCGGGUUGUAAAGCUCUUUCAGCCGAGAAGAAAAGAUUGCGACUAAUAAUCGCAAUUCAUGACGGUACCGGCAGAAGAAGCACCGGCUAACUACGUGCCAGCAGCCGCGGUAAUACGUAGGGUGCGAGCGCUAAUCGGAAUUACUGGGCGUAAAGGGUGCGCAGGCGGUUUUGUAAGUCAGAUGUGAAAUCCCCGGGCUUAACCUGGGAACU